rnacentral:rRNA from 5 species
GGUUAAGCGACUAAGCGUACACGGUGGAUGCCCUGGCAGUCAGAGGCGAUGAAGGACGUGCUAAUCUGCGAUAAGCGCCGGUAAGGUGAUAUGAACCGUUAUAACCGGCGAUUUCCGAAUGGGGAAACCCAGUGUGAUUCGUCACACUAUCAUUAACUGAAUCCAUAGGUUAAUGAGGCGAACCGGGGGAACUGAAACAUCUAAGUACCCCGAGGAAAAGAAAUCAACCGAGAUUCCCCCAGUAGCGGCGAGCGAACGGGGAGGAGCCCAGAGCCUGAAUCAGCAUGUGUGUUAGUGGAAGCGUCUGGAAAGGCGCGCGAUACAGGGUGACAGCCCCGUACACAAAAGCGCAUGUGCUGUGAGCUCGAUGAGUAGGGCGGGACACGUGGUAUCCUGUCUGAAUAUGGGGGGACCAUCCUCCAAGGCUAAAUACUCCUGACUGACCGAUAGUGAACCAGUACCGUGAGGGAAAGGCGAAAAGAACCCCGGCGAGGGGAGUGAAAAAGAACCUGAAACCGUGUACGUACAAGCAGUGGGAGC